rnacentral:lncRNA from 1 species
AAGGGCAGGGAUGGGGUGACUAUGAGGACGAGCUUAAAAUCUUCAAAAUCCAGUAGGGAACUCAAGAAGUUGGAGUGGACGGUUAGUUACAAAAAGGCGAAAAUGGGAUCUAGCACGGGCUUUUCUAGAGGGGCUUCAGGAUCAGGGUGUAAAUGAAGAUAAGAAUUCUGUCAUGGAAUGUUAGAGGGGCUAAUGAUAGGGAUAAAAGGAGGAUCAUUAAGUCAAUUAUUAAAUCCCAGAGAGUGGAUGUGGUUUGUUUACAGGAAACUAAAAUUAAAGAAAUGUCUACGGGGCUUGUUCGAAGUUUGGGGGUGGGAAGAAAUAUAGAGUGGAGAGCAGUCAACUCUAGGGGAGCAGCUGGGGGUAUUUUGGUGUUCUGGGACAACAGGGUGGUGGAGCUGGUGGGAUGGGAAAAAGGAGUGUUCUCAAUUUCGUGCCGGUUCAAAAAUUGUGUGGAUGGUGUUGUGUGGGUGUUCACUGGGGUGUAUGGGCCGGUUUGCAGUGGUGAUAGAGAGGAGUUUUGGGAGGAACUUGGGUCAGUUAAAGGAUUAUGGAGUGACCCUUGGUGUGUGGGAGGGGAUUUCAACUUGGUAAGGUUUCCAGAGGAGCGUAGCAGGGGAGGUGGUCUUACAGCUUCUAUGAGGAGAUUCUCAGAAGUGGUAGAGGAUCUGGAGCUCAGGGACUAUCCAUUGAGGGGGGGUCCGUUUACUUGGAGAGGGGGUUUGAAUAACCGGGUCCAGUCUAGGCUGGAUAGGUUCUUAGUGACGGAUAGUUGGGAUAAUAUGUUCAAUGGUGCUGUGCAGGGCAUUCUCCCUAGACCUGUCUCGGAUCACUUCCCCAUUCUCUUGGAAGGAGGAGGUUUGAAGAGGGGUCCUUCCCCUUUCAGGUUUGAGAACAUGUGGUUGGAGGAGGAGGGUUUUAAAGACAAGUUGAAGAUGUGGUGGGGGAGUUUAAAGUUUACUGGGUCAGCUAGCUACAUUUUAGAUGCUAAACUGAGGGCCCUUAAAAAUAUUUUGAAGAUUUGGAAUAAGGAGGAGUUUGGGUUAGUUGAGGCUAAAAAGAUUGAAGCUCUUAAGCAGGUUGAGUACUGGGAUGAAAAGGAGAAAUAUGAUGUUUUAAAUAUGGAAGAUUGUGAAGCAAGAAAUGGAGCAAGGGAGGCCUACAAGUCUUGGGUGAUAAAAGAAGAGAUUUUCUGGAGACAGAAGUCUAGGGAGUUGUGGUUGAAGGAGGGGGAUAAUAAUACCAGAUUCUUUCAUAAGAUGGCGAAUGCUCAUUGUAGAAGAAACUGGCUGUCCAAGUUGAAAGUUAAUGGUUAUUGGCAUUCAGAGGAAAAUAACUUAAGAAACAGUGUGGUGGGGGCGUUUCAAGAGCUGUACCAGGAGGAAGAGGGGUGGCGUCCUAGUGUUGACGGGAUCUCUUUUAUGAGGUUAGAUAUCAGUGAGGCUGAGGGGUUGGAGAUCCCUUUCAAGGAGGAAGAGGUGUUAGCAGCUUUUACGGACCUAGGCAAAGACAAAGCCCCGGGGCCGGAUGGCUUUACAAUGGCAUUCUGGCUUUAUGGGUGGGAUGUGGUGAAGUUUGAAAUUAUGGGCUUUUUUAGAGAAUUCCAUGAAAGGGGCAGAUUUGUAAAAUCCCUAAAUGCAACCUUCUUGGUUUUAGUCCCUAAGAAGGGAGGGGCAGAAGAUUUGAAAGAUUUUAGACCGAUUAGCCUUGUGGGAAGCCUUUACAAGUUGUUGGCCAAGGUGUUGGCAAAUAGAAUCAAGAAGGUUAUGGGAACAGUGAUUUCGGAACCCCAAAAUGCGUUUGUGGAGGGUAGGCAAAUUCUUGAUGCAGUUUUGAUUGCUAAUGAGGCUGUGGACUCCAGAUUGAAAAGCAAUCAAGGGGGCGUGAUGUGCAAAUUGGAUAUAGAGAAGGCUUUUGAUCGUGUUGGCUGGAAGUUCUUGUUGGCUGUGUUAAAGCAAAUGGGAUUUGGGGAGAGAUGGAUUAUGUGGAUAAAGUGGUGUAUCUCAACUGUUAGAUACUCCGUUCUGAUAAAUGGCUCUCCUUCCGGAUUCUUCCAAAGCUCAAGGGGUUUGAGACAAGGUGACCCCCUAUCCCCUUACCUGUUUGUGAUAACUAUGGAGGUGUUUAGUUGCUUAAUGAGAAGGGCCAUCAGUGAGGGUUUUUUAUCUGGAUGGAGGGUUAGAGGUAGGGGUGGAGAAGGGAUUCUGAUAUCCCAUUUGCUCUUUGUGGACGACACCUUGGUGUUUUGUGAGGAGUCCCAGGAUCAGUUGACGUAUCUAAGUUGGCUUCUCAUGUGGUUUGAGGCUUGCUCAGGUCUGAAAGUUAACUUGGAGAAGAGUGAGCUUAUUCCGGUGGGGAUGGUGACUGAUAUAGAGGAUUUGGCUCUGGAGUUGGGUUGUAAGGUGGGUGGUCUGCCUUCCAGGUAUUUGGGUUUGCCUUUGGGGGCACCUUUCAAAUCAGAGGUGGUAUGGGAUUGUGUUGAAGAGAGGUUUAGGAAAAGGUUGGCUAUGUGGAAGAGACAGUAUAUUUCCAAGGGGGGAAGUGCUCUUGAUCAGAGGCCUCAUCUGGUUAGGUGGAAUCUGGUUUGCUUGGAAAGGAAGAAAGGUGGUUUGGGGGUAAGAAACUUAGCGUUGAUGAAUAAAGCUCUCUUAGGUAAGUGGAAUUGGCGUUUUGCCAUUGAAAGAGAGGUGCUGUGGAAGAAAGUGAUCAGUCACAAAUAUGGUGUAGAGGAGGGGGGUUGGUGUACUCGGGCCGAAAGAGGGAGGCAUGGUGUAGGGCUUUGGAAAGCUAUUAGAAAGGAGUGGUUGGGUAUGUAUAGCAGUUUAGCCUUCCGUGUGGGCAAUGGUCGGAGAGUGAGAUUCUGGAAGGAUAAGUGGUGUGGAGAUGAGCCUCUCUACGAAUCCUUCCCCUCUCUUUUUGCCAUUUCUCAGGCUAAAGACGCGUGGGUAUCGGAUGUGUGGAACCCAGAUGGUGUAGGGGAUGGUUGGACCCCUUUGUUCUCAAGGGCGCUUAAUGAUUGGGAAAUUGAGAUGAUGGAACAGUUUAUGCUUAAAAUCCAAGCUUUUAGGGUGCAAAGGGAGAACGAGGAUAAGAUGGUGUGGACAACAUCUAAAAGUGGUGUUUUCUCAGUCAAGUCACUCUACUCUUUUUUGGAGCCUGGUGGUUCAGCUAUGUUCCCUUAUAUUGGUAUUUGGAAAGCGAGUGUGCCGCCAAAGGUAGCUUUUUUCGCGUGGGAAGCAUCUUGGGGCAAAAUCUUAACUCUAGACCAACUUCAGAGGAGGGGUUAUUCUUUGGCAAAUAGGUGUUUUCUUUGUCUUGCUGAAGCAGAAACAGUGGAUCAUCUUUUACUCCAUUGUGUUAUGACGAGGACAUUGUGGAAUCUUCUUUUUUCUCUCUUUGGUGUGGAGUGGGUUCUCUCUGGUACAGUUAAGGAAACUCUCCUGGGGUGGUAUGGAGCGUUUGUGGGGAAAAUCCGUAAAAAGGCGUGGCAAAUGGCCCCCUUAUGUAUAUUUUGGUCAGUUUGGAAGGAAAGAAAUUCGUUGGCUUUUGGGAACGAGGUGUUGUCAAUCCAAAGGUUGAAACAUUCUUUUGUAUGUAAUUUGUGGUCAUGGGUGAGGAUGUUUAUAGUUUUGAGCCCGCGGUCUCUGGUUAGCUUUAUUGAGUGGCUCGGUUUUUGUUAUAGGUAGGGGUUUUGGCUCGCUUCCUUGGUUUAGAUUCGAGGGGCUGCUUUUGUAUACCCUUUGUAUACCUAGAGGACACUAGUUUGGUGUCUCCUCUUUCAUUUUAAUAUACUUCUCUUUACUUAUCAAAAAGAAAAAAAUUAGCAAUAAGAACUGCAUCAAGGAUUUGUCUUCCCUCUACAAGGGCAUUUUGGAACAUGGAAACUACUCUUCCCACCACCUUCUUCAACCUAUUGGUUAGAACCUAAGCUAAAAGUUGAUACAACCAACCCAUUAGAUUAAUUGGCCAUAAAUCUUUCAAAUCGUCUACACCACCUUUGAUAGGAAUUAGCACAAAGAAAGGGUGACAUGCAGAUUUUUUACAAACCUUUCUUGAUCUUAGAAUUCCCGGAAGAAGCCUAACACUCCCCCCUUCACAAAAUCACAACAGACUUGCCAGAAGUCCAAAGAGAACCCAUUAGGGCCAGGAGCCCUUUCCCCAUUCAAAUAUGACCAAGUGCUUAACACCUCCUCCUCAGAGAAAGGCACCCUAAGGCAUCAGCCUUUUGACUUUCUAAGGCUUUGAACAACAUCCCAUUGAUGCUAGGUCUCCAAUUUGUUGAAUCAGACAACAAAAUGUGAUAAGCCUGAGCAACCCUUCCUUCUAUAGUGCUGAAAUCUAAGGAUCCUGCGUCAUAUACUUUGUCUUUUGUGAAUUCUUUUAUGCCCUACUGUUCUGCAUUAAUUUUCUUAAAUAUAUACAUGCAUUGUGUAGUUUGAAGUGUUGUCCUUGUAGAGUUUGCUUCCUAGGGUGAGACAAUACCUAAAUUAUAAAAGAAGAUUAUUAUUAACAUGCUGCUUUGGACUUCAAAUGCAGACUUGGGUGGUAUGUUAACAAAAAGAUCUUAAGUUAUUUACUGUGCAGCUUGAGCAUUGAAUGUAUUUCUAAUUUUUGUUAGGUUGUGAUGUAGAAAAAUUAGAGAGCGCACUUAUUUUGUGGUUCCAUCUUAUGAUAUGUAUCCAUUGUUUUGGUUGGAAAAUUCAACUUAGAGUUGUACUUUUCACUUUUGCUCCUUUUCCUAAGUUAUAUAGUCCUGAAACCAUUGUAUAUAUUUCAUUUAUAAUUCAAGGAAACUUUUGUCAUGAAUAAUGUAACAUUACUAACCAGACUUAAUUUGGGUUGGACUCGGGUUGAGCCCAUGGGCACCCUAAGCCAACCUGAACAUGAUGUGAGAUACUUCUUUACAUUAUUGUUUUAAAAAUUCAUUACGUGUUUAUGGCUAUAUGUUUAUAUAAGAUGUUUAUGUUUUUCAAAUGAAAACUAAGGCUAUUUUGUUUUAAUUGUGGCUUCUAAUGAAGAGCUUUUGAGACUAUCUGUAUAGUGACCAUUGUAUUGGAUAUAACUUCAUUAGUGCAUUUUUCUCUCGUGCGUUUUUUUGCGCUUCUAAUACAUUCUCUUACCAAAAAAAACAACAAAAAAAAACUUAAUUAGUGCAUCUUUGGAAGUACUUUGCUGUGGACAAGUAAUAGAAGUGCAAUUUUGUCCCUUUAGAAAAUGUUGCUAGGACAAGCGUUACCUAAAAGAUCCACUUCAUUUUAGAGGUGGCAAUCAGACUGUUGGGUUUGAAUUUGGGUCAAUUGAAACAUGGCCAUAAAUAAAUUGAGAAAUGCAAAUCCAAAUCCACAUGGUUUGAUGUGGGAGUAACUAACUUAAAAAGAAUUAAUUAUUUGCCCAACCAAACCUCACCUGAUCUAGUCUGUUCUUAGGUUGAAUACUUCCAACAUGAGGUUGGACUGGUUAAGCUUGGGCAUCCUUCCAAUCUUAGGAUUGGGCUUAGAUUGGCCUUCAACCUGACCCUGCCUGGAGCUUUAGUUUAGUUGUGUCCUUGGGUUUUGAUGUGCAGCUGUCGGAUGUAGCUGUUCUGAAUUGCAUGGACAAGCCAAAUAUCUCUGGUGAUCACAUUGCUUGAGAAGAAUGCAAUCAAAAUGUAAUACUCAAUCAAUGAAGCACCUAAUGCCAAUGUAUCUGAGUUAUUGGUGGCCCACUAAUACACCAGCAACCAUCUUCACCUUGUCCCUAAUGCAAGAUACACAGGUUCUGGCUAGGGAAGUACUGGCCUAGGUGUUGCCCAGUUGAAAUUUCAACUACUUUGAGAUUUCAACCAUUACUAUUUGCUGACCACUGACUACAUUUGCGGCUUCUUGAACAUGCUUUUGCAUUAGUUGCUGUACUGACAUUGGUAAACCUUAUUAACGUAUUAAACAGAAUUUUGGUUUCUUUCUCUGUCUUGACUAUGCAAACAUGCUAUGUAUGUGUUUUCGUAUGUGGUUGCUUUUGAACUGCUAGUGAUGCUGUACACUGUGUAUGUCUCUUUUAGGAUUCUCUGUUGUCUGCAUGCUCCAAUAUUGGGGCACAUCAGCUGAAAUGACUGUUCUUUCUCUCUCUCACAUGGGUCAUUAACUACUGAUUUUUUUCUUUUUUUUUUUCCGGUAACUUUUUAUAGUCUUAUAAGGCAUUAUUUAUAUGGGAUUAAAUACUGAUCAUUGAAAUUGUUGUUUUUUUUUUGGGGAUGUUGGAUUUGGUUUCAGCCGGUUCUUGCAAUAUAGAGGCCCAUUUGCCAAAAGAAGGCAUCCAUUGGUGGACUCUACAGUAGUUUCAGAAAUAAGAAGAUGCCUUGAGGAUGGUGUUGAAUUUCAUGGUGAUUUGUUAAAUUUUAGGAAAGAUGGAUCUCCUUUGAUGAACAGAUUGCGGUUGACCCCUAUUUAUGGAGAUGAUGAAACGAUAACACACGUUAUUGGUAUCCAGUUCUUCACAGAAGCAAAUAUUGAUUUGGGUCCACUUCCGGGAUCUUUAGCAAAGGAAUCUGCACGAUCAUCAGGUCGAUUUCGUUCUGGUUUUCCCUCUUACCCUUCUGUUCCAGCUGGGAAUCGAAAUAUUUGUCGUGGGGUUUGUGGGAUAAUGCAAUUGAGCGAUGAAGUCCUGUCUCUCAAGAUACUUUCACUUUUGACACCAAGAGAUAUUGCUUCCAUCGGCUCUGUCUGUAGGCGGUUUUAUGAAAUAACAAAGAAUGAGGAUCUUUGGAGAAUGGUCUGCCAAAACGCAUGGGGAAGUGAGACAACUCGUGUUUUAGAGACAGUGCCAGGGGCAAAACAACUAGGGUGGGGUAGGCUGGCAAGGGAGCUGACAACACUUGAAGCAGCAGCAUGGAGGAAGCUGACUGUUGGAGGUGCUGUUGAACCCUCCCGUUGCAAUUUCAGUGCAUGUGCUGUUGGUAGUCGGGUUGUUCUCUUUGGUGGGGAAGGUGUUAACAUGCAGC